CAAACUACUAUGAGAGGGAGGCUACAUCUUCGCAGGUAUGUACGUGCAAAAUAUAUAUUUGUGCAAGCUUGUGUAUGUGCUGUUUUUGCUUUUUGAAACUCAAAUUUAUGUGUGCCCAAGCUCAUGUGCUGUUUUGGUACCCAAAUGUCAAAUAUAUGUUUGUGCAAGCUCAUGUGUGUGCUCUUUUUGGUAUCCAAAUGUCAAAUAUAUUUUAGUGCAAGCUCAUGUGUGUUGCUGUUUUUGCUAUCCAAAAGUCAAAUAUAUGUGUGUCCAAGCUCAUGUGUGUGCUGUUUUUGCUAUCCAUAAGUCAAAUAUAUGUGUGUCCAAGCUCAUGUGUGUUGUCUUUGUGUGCUAGGCAAUGAAGCAUGAUAAGCAAGCGGAGGAGGAUCAUGAAGAGGUGGAAGAGGACGAGGAGGAGGACGAGGAAGAGCAAGAUACUUUGUUUGAGGUGCCGCCUGGGGUUGGUGACAAAUCAGAUUCAGAUGGGUUUGUGGAUAGUGAAGAAGAAGCCUUCGAAGGUGAUAAGCAAGUGAAGAAGAAGCCUUCGAAGGUGAU
rnacentral:lncRNA from 1 species